AUUGAACGCUGGCGGAAUGCUUUACACAUGCAAGUCGAACGGUAGAGGGGGCAACCCCUCGAGAGUGGCGAACGGGUGAGUAAUAUAUCGGAACGUGCCCAGUCGUGGGGGAUAACGUAGCGAAAGUUACGCUAAUACCGCAUACGAUCUAAGGAUGAAAGCGGGGGAUCGCAAGACCUCGCGCGAUUGGAGCGGCCGAUAUCAGAUUAGGUAGUUGGUGGGGUAAAGGCUCACCAUGCCAACGAUCUGUAGCUGGUCUGAGAGGACGACCAGCCACACUGGAACUGAGACACGGUCCAGACUCCUACGGGAGUCAGCAGUGGGGAAUUUUGGACAAUGGACGCAAGUCUGAUCCAGCCAUUCCGCGUGCAGGAUGAAGGCCCUCGGGUUGUAAACUGCUUUUGUACGGAACGAAAAGGUCUCUCUUAAUACGGGGGGCUCAUGACGGUACCGUAAGAAUAAGCACCGGCUAACUACGUGCCAGCAGCCGCCGUAA
rnacentral:rRNA from 1 species